AUGGAAUGUUUGUGGCCAUGGCUUAUUUUCUGGAAUUUUCACCAAAUCUGCAGUUGUAUGUCCUACAUAGAUUAUGGUAAGUUGUUAAACUUUAUUGGCAGUUAUAGAUUCUUAUAUAUCUACUCCAAUUUUGAUGUUUUGUUAUACAAUUUGUUACUUUGUGCUGCUCAUUACCGAAAGAUUUGUGGUAGCUCUUUUAAGCACACUAGCCAAUGUAAUGUAGACAUAUCUAGAGUUUUUAUGUUAUUUACUUAUCAAUUGACCACUUUUUUUUUCUCGUAUUUGUUUAUCGGAAGACUGAUUUUGGUGCAUGUCCUCCUUCUCUUUUUGCUUUAA